rnacentral:rRNA from 1 species
UACGGAGGGGGCGAGCGUUAUUCGGAAUUAUUGGGCGUAAAGGGCGCGUAGGCGGCUUGAUGUGUCAAAGGUGAAAUCCCUCGGCUCAACUGAGGAACUGCCUUUGAAACUGUCUGGCUUGAGGCCGGGAGAGGGUAGCGGAAUUCCCAGUGUAGCGGUGAAAUGCGCAGAUAUCAGGAGGAACACCAAUUGCGAAGGCAGCUCGCUGGGACGUUACUGACGCUGAGACGCGAAAGCUAGGGGAGCAAACAGG